UAAUUGUAUUUGUUUUUUUUUAGGAGUCUGUCAUGGAAAUCCAAACUGUACAUGUAUGCAGUUAUUGUUGUUGGACUUACCAGUGGCUUAGUAGCUAUGGCUACAGCUCUUUCUGAAUUAAUCGACCUGAGAUCUCUCAUUCCUCAUUACUAUUAUUAUUAUUUCUAUGAUGUUGACAGUACUUUUAGCUAAUAAAUGUGCACUGCACACAAUCAGACUGUGGUUUAGGAUGCACACGCCGCUGUUUUAUCCAGACCACAUACAAACACAGCUCAAAAACAUCCGUCAACUUUAAAGACUAAUAUCUUCAAAAUCGACUGCAACUGCAACCCAAAGCAUAUUAUUUUUUAGUGGCUAAUCAUCUCAGUGACUAGUGCAACUGUUGCUAUCAUUGUCUGCGUUUUGUCGUCAGGUGGCAGCCACUAAACUUUCAUAAACGGCAUCCUAGCAGUUGUAGUUGACAGUGAUUACUAUUAGUUCUACGGAUGACUCUUAAAUUAAUUUUAUGCAUUGGUAAAAUGGUUCCACAUAUCACGCCCUUGUCGAUGUAAAAUAACGUUCUAGUCGUAUAGAACAGGCGUAGAUAUGUUUCCGUUUUUUGCUCAUUACAGUAAUAUUAGUGUGAUUUCCUUUGUUUCAAAUAACAAUAAUAAUAAAUGUUCAAAUGCCUAAUAUUGAUUCUGAGAAGAUAAACAUAGGAUAUUGUAAAUUUAUUUACUACGUAAUAUAUUAUUAAAAUUGUGGAUAUUAUUAUAUCAUUAUAAAAGCUAUACUCUAACUCACCACAAACUAUUAUUAAUGUUUGAAUAUUAAAUGUAACUUUUAUUUGUAUAUUGAGUACAACUUAAAUAAAUUAAAAUAAACACAUAUAUUUAUGAUCA